rnacentral:lncRNA from 1 species
AUUUGUUUUUCUCCACUGCUCUCAGGAUGCAGAUGGGAAAGCGAUGGCAAUCGCCAGUGACUAAAAGUGGUAGACGGAGGAGAAGUCCAUCCCCACCACCCACCAGAAGGCGACGGUCUCCUUCUCCCGCCCCUCCUCCUCGACGGCGCAGGACUCCCACACCACCACCACGACGAAGGACUCCUUCUCCUCCCCCACGUCGGCGCUCACCUUCUCCUAGAAGAUACUCUCCUCCAAUACAGAGGAGAUACUCUCCUUCUCCACCUCCAAAGAGAAGAACGGCUUCACCUCCUCCCCCUCCUAAACGAAGAGCAUCACCAUCUCCACCACCAAAGCGGCGGGUCUCCCAUUCUCCACCUCCCAAACAAAGAAGCUCCCCAGUCACCAAGAGACGUUCACCUUCAUUAUCAUCCAAGCAUAGGAAAGGGUCUUCCCCAAGCCGCUCUACCAGGGAGGCCCGAUCACCACAACCAAACAAACGGCAUUCGCCCUCACCACGGCCUCGAGCUCCUCAGACCUCCUCAAGUCCUCCACCCGUUCGAAGAGGAGCGUCGUCAUCACCCCAAAGAAGGCAGUCCCCGUCUCCAAGUACUAGGCCCAUUAGGAGAGUCUCCAGGACUCCGGAACCUAAAAAGAUAAAAAAGGCUGCUUCCCCAAGCCCACAGUCUGUAAGGAGGGUCUCAUCCUCCCGAUCUGUCUCCGGGUCUCCUGAGCCAGCAGCUAAAAAGCCCCCAGCACCUCCAUCCCCCGUCCAGUCUCAGUCACCGUCUACAAACUGGUCACCAGCUGUACCGGUCAAAAAGGCCAAAAGCCCAACACCGAGCCCAUCACCG